AGUGAACGCUGGCGGUAGGCCUAACACAUGCAAGUCGAACGGCAGCACAGUAAGAGCUUGCUCUUACGGGUGGCGAGUGGCGGACGGGUGAGGAAUACAUCGGAAUCUACUUUUUCGUGGGGGAUAACGUAGGGAAACUUACGCUAAUACCGCAUACGACCUACGGGUGAAAGCAGGGGAUCUUCGGACCUUGCGCGAUUGAAUGAGCCGAUGUCGGAUUAGCUAGUUGGCGGGGUAAAGGCCCACCAAGGCGACGAUCCGUAGCUGGUCUGAGAGGAUGAUCAGCCACACUGGAACUGAGACACGGUCCAGACUCCUACGGGAGGCAGCAGUGGGGAAUAUUGGACAAUGGGCGCAAGCCUGAUCCAGCCAUACCGCGUGGGUGAAGAAGGCCUUCGGGUUGUAAAGCCCUCUUGUUGGGAAAGAAAAGCAGCAGGUUAAUACCCCGCUGUUCUGACGGUACCCGAAGAAUAAGCACCGGCUAACUUCGUG
rnacentral:rRNA from 1 species